AGUAGUUAAGCCCAUUACUAAAUCUCUUUCAAUUUGAGAUUUGGAGAGGAAAGGUCACGAAGGGAGGAAAGCGGAGAUGACGAUGGUGAUCACUCCAAACGAACCCAACUCUGCAUCAUCACUGACGAUCGUGUUGGAUUAGAGUCUCUGAAGCUUUGUAUCUUAUUAUUUAGUCUGGCGAUCCAUCAGUUUGAAUAUCCCAUCCACCGAACGGAAGGAGUUUGCAUGUAGUCUGGUGUUUCUUUCAUUCCAAAUCCAAUACACCGUUGCCUGCCAAGCUAGUAGGAUGAGGAGUCGCUGCGGUAGAGGAACCGAGAUGGAGGACAUCUGAUCCAGCGAGACAACCCAAUCUCUGGAAGAGCAAGCAGCGAGCAUCAACUUGAAUACCCCAAUGGAUGAGUCUGUCUCUAGUCGGAAUUCUGUUCUGAAUCACUAGCCAUAAGUGAAAGCUGUGACGAGGGAUGGCCCUAGACGUCCAGACAACAGCGUACCAAGGAACAUCAGGUAUGUAGCUGGAGUUGCGCUUCAGUUCGAGCAGGAGGGAGGCGCCAGGAGCCAUUUAGACACAGGGAUGAAACAGUUGCCCUUUGAGAAAUUCCCAACCUGGAGUUGCUUCCCGACAAGUGAGAGUAGAGAUCCCCAAAAGGAGUCCAGUUAUCUGACCAGAACUGAGCUGUUUCACCGUUCUGUAGUCUGAGCUUGAUGAGAGGAAACACCUCUGCUUUUAGUUUUAGCAGUUUAUUCACUAGCCAGGAGUAUGAUUGCUUCGGCUGUGUCGUCCAGAAAUUGUGAAUUAACCCCUUCAAGAUAACCUCCUUGAACCAUUGAACCCAUACCGAGUCGGGUCUGAAAAAAAGGAGCCAGAUAAGUCUUAGCGUGCAAGCUUUGUUCCAGGAGCUGACCACAAAGAGAAUUGAUUCGCUCAAUACAAGCUUUCGGGAGAAUAAAUGCAGAGCACCAAAACGUUGUGAUUCCAGAGAUCACCAUCUUUAUGAGUAGCAGCCUUCCAGAGAACGACAGGGUCUUUACUGACCAAGAGGAGAACUUGGUCUUGAUUUGAUGGAUCAGAGGUUCACAAUUAACUAGCGAAAGUUUCCUCGAGUUAAGAGGGACGCCCAGAUAUCGGAAGGGAAUUGAACCAAGACUCAUUCCCGUGGAAACUUGAAUCAGGACUUGUAGCACCUGCUGGACCGAGUCUAUGGAGCCGUCUAUAAAGAUCAAAAGGUCAUCAGCGAAGGAGAGAUGACUUGAUGUGCAGACACAUGCUCUGAGUUGCCUCAUGAAUCGGACUGGGAACUGAAGACCCUCCAGGCAAGAGAACAGAAACUCCCAUGAUAAUGUAUCAAAUGCCUUUGCAAUAUCCACUUUGAUGGCAGGAAGUUACUUGCAAAGAAGUUCCUUAUUGAAGCUGUCACUUCCGUUCCAAUGAAUUCCCAAGAAGCUUUGAAGAAUGCUGAUGUUAGCCCAUCCGGUCCAGGCGUCUUAUUCGGAUUCAGUUUGAAGAAAACAUUUUUUAUCUCCUCUUCUGACGGGAUGGAUAACAUCAGCUGGUUCAAGUGAGCAGGGACAGAGUAUCCAGUAAGAUCAGCAAACCAUUGUGGACUCGAGUAUAGGGUUGGCGGGUGAUAGUUCAGAGGACCUAGCACUGAUUGAAAAUGGUUGACUGUGUGAUCGCUCAUCUCCUGAGGGUCUGUAAUCCAGGAAGCUCCAUUUCUGAUGCAGUUCGCGCUCAGCUUGGAAGGUGAUAGGAGUUGGAUCUUGCAAAGCCUGAACCUGCGCAAGUUGCAACAAACGGAAGGCGAAAAGCAAGGUCAAGAACACAAGGGGCAUGAUCGGAGAAAAGAGGGGGGAGAAAGGAGGCCAGGGCAUUUGGGAAAGUUGAAACAAAAGGACUGUUAACCAUCAAUCUGUCCAGCUUCUUUGAGAUAGGGCCAGAUGGUUGAGAAUUGGUCCAAGUAUGAGGAGUACCAAUGUGCCGGAGAUCAAAAAUGCCCAGCUGCGUGAAGCAGUCUCGGAGCUGGUACAUGAGGUAAAAUGGCAAUUGGUUAUGCUAUCAUCAAACUUAUUUUUUCAAUAAAAGACUGAGAAGUCAAAGAUUUACACCAACUAAGUAACAAAAAAACAGUAACGGAGGGGGAAGAAGAAAAAAGACAAACAAAACAAAAUCAAUGAGCCUUCUCUGCAAAAAACAUAGAACACAAGCAGAACCGUACAUAAAUGAAAACAAGUGACAUCUUUAGUUAUUCUCUGAUUCUCUCUGCAUACGUUAUUUGUUACUAAAAGCUCUAUUUGUUUUUGUAGUUUUGAAGAAAUCGCAUCUCUUGGCUAACAAACAAUUAUUGUGAUAGCUACGUACUCUACCAAGGGAAAAGAAUAUCAAUGUGAAAGAUUCAAAUUGGGUAAUUACAAAUUUGUUUGUUAUGGUUUGACUAUUUUUGACAUAUCUAUGUUUUCUUAUAGAUGAGUAUAUUAUGACUGUUUUAUAAACGUUUGUAGGUCUAUUA